rnacentral:rRNA from 1 species
AUUGAACGCUGGCGGCAGGCCUAACACAUGCAAGUCGAACGGUAACAGGAAGAAUCUUGCUUCUUUGCUGACGAGUGGCGGACGGGUGAGUAAUGUCUGGGAAACUGCCUGAUGGAGGGGGAUAACUACUGGAAACGGUAGCUAAUACCGCAUAACGUCGCAAGACCAAAGAGGGGGACCUUCGGGCCUCUUGCCAUCGGAUGUGCCCAGAUGGGAUUAGCUAGUAGGUGGGGUAACGGCUCACCUAGGCGACGAUCCCUAGCUGGUCUGAGAGGAUGACCAGCCACACUGGAACUGAGACACGGUCCAGACUCCUACGGGAGGCAGCAGUGGGGAAUAUUGCACAAUGGGCGCAAGCCUGAUGCAGCCAUGCCGCGUGUAUGAAGAAGGCCUUCGGGUUGUAAAGUACUUUCAGCGGGGAGGAAGGGAGUAAAGUUAAUACCCUUGCUCAUUGACGUUACCCGCAGAAGAAGCACCGGCUAACUCCGUG